UUUGAUCCUGGCUCAGGAUGAACGCUGGCGGCGUGCCUAAUACAUGCAAGUAGAACGCUGAAGCUUGGUGCUUGCACCGAGCGGAUGAGUUGCGAACGGGUGAGUAACGCGUAGGUAACCUGCCUCUUAGCGGGGGAUAACUAUUGGAAACGAUAGCUAAUACCGCAUAAAAGUCGAUAUCGCAUGAUAUUGAUUUGAAAGGUGCAAUUGCAUCACUAAGAGAUGGACCUGCGUUGUAUUAGCUAGUUGGUGAGGUAACGGCUCACCAAGGCGACGAUACAUAGCCGACCUGAGAGGGUGAUCGGCCACACUGGGACUGAGACACGGCCCAGACUCCUACGGGAGGCAGCAGUAGGGAAUCUUCGGCAAUGGGGGCAACCCUGACCGAGCAACGCCGCGUGAGUGAAGAAGGUUUUCGGAUCGUAAAGCUCUGUUGUAAGAGAAGAACGAGUGUGAGAGUGGAAAGUUCACACUGUGACGGUAACUUACCAGAAAGGGACGGCUAACUACGUGCCAGCAGCCGCGGU
rnacentral:rRNA from 1 species